ensembl:lncRNA
CCAGGGAAACCCAGCCCAGAACAGCCUGGAUCCACCCCCGUGGGAUCCGCCCCCGGGAUCUGCCCGGAUCCACCCCUGAUCCCAGGGAAACCCAGCCCAGAACCCACGGGAUCCACCCCCAGGAUCCACCCCUGAUCCCAGGGUAACCCACCCCAGAACCCAUGGGAUCCACCCCUGGGAUCCACCCCAGAUCCCAGGGUAACCCAGCCCAGAACAGCCUGGAUCCACCCUCGCGGGAUCUGCUCCCGGGAUCCGCCCGGAUCCACCCCAGAGCCCAGGGAAACCCAGCCCAGAACCCUCACAGGAGCCACCCCCGGGAUCCGCCCUCGUGGGAUCCACCCCCUGGGAUCCGCCCGGAUCCACCCUUGAUCCCAGGGAAACCCACGCCAGAACCCCCAUGGGAUCCACCCUCGUGGGAUCCACCCUCACGGGAUCCAUCCAUGGGAUCCACCCCGCGGAUUCACCCGGAUCCACUCCCAAUGCCAGGGAAACCCACCCCAGAGUCCCCAGGAUCCACCCCUGGGAUCCACCAGGACCCACCCCUGGGAUCCACCUGGAUCCACCCCCGGGAUCCACCCCCGAUCCCAGGGUAACCCAGCCCAGAACCCCCGGGAUCCACCCCUGGGAUCCACCAAACCCCGCCCCAGAACCCCUGGGAUCCACCUGGAUCCACCCCCAGGAUCCACCCCCAGGAUCUACCCCUGGGAUCCACCCCAUUUCUCCCCAUUCCCGGGGGUCUCCAGGGAAUUUUUCCCCAAUUUCUGGGUUUUUUCCCCAUUCCCAGGGGUCUCAGGGGUCUUUUCCCCAAUUCCAGGGUUUUUUUCCCCAUUCCCGUGGUUUUUUCCCCCCAUUCCCGGGAUUUUUUCCCAAUUCCGGGGUUUUUUUCCCCAAUUCCGGGGUUUUUUUCCCAAUUCCAGGGUUUUUUUCCCAUCCAAUUCCAGGGUUUUUUCCCCCAUUCCCGGGAGUCUCGGGGGGUUUUUCUCCCAAUUCCCGGGAUUUUUUUCCCAAUUCCGGGGUUUUUCUCCCCAUUCCCAGGGGUCUCGGGGGGUUUUUUCCCCAAUUCUGGGAUUUUUUCCCCAAUUCCGGGGUUUUUUCCCCAUUCCCGGGGUUUUUUUCCCAUUCCCGAGGUUUUUUUCCCCAAUUCCGGGGGUUUUUUCCCCAAUUCCAGGGAUAUUUUUCCCAAUUCCGGGGUUUUUCUCCCCAAUUCCGGGGUUUUUUUCCCCAAUUCCAGGGUUUUUUUCCCCAAUUCCAGGGAUUUUUUCCCCAAUUCCAGGCUCUUUUUCCCCAAUUCUGGGGUUUUUUUCCCCAUUCCCGAGGUUUUUUUCCCAAUUCCGGGGUUUUUUUCCCCAAUUCCAGGGAUUUUUUCCCCAAUUCCGGGGGUUUUUUCCCCAAUUCCAGUGAUUUUUCCCCAAUUCCGGGGUUUUUCUCCCCAUUCCCAGGGGUCUCGGGGGGUUUUUUUCCCAAUUCCGGGGUUUUUCCCCAAUUCCGGGGUUUUUUUCCCCAUUCCCGAGGUUUUUUUCCCAAUUCCGGGUUUUUUUUCCCAAUUCUGGGGUUUUUUUCCCCAAUUCCAGGAUUUUUCCCCCAUUCCCGAGGUUUUUUUCCCAAUUCCGGGGUUUUUUUCCCCAAUUCCAGGGAUUUUUUCCCAAUUCCGGGGUUUUUUUCCCCAAUUCUGGGAUUUUUUCCCCAAUCCCCGGGAUUUUUUUCCCAUUCCCGAGGUUUUUUUCCCCAAUUCCCGGGAUUUUUUUCCCAAUUCCAGGGAUUUUUUCCCAAUUCUGGGGUUUUUCUCCCCAUUCCCGGGGGUCUCAAGGGGAUUUUUCCCCAAUUCCUGGGAUUUUUUUCCCAAUUCCCGGGGUUUUUUUCCCAAUUCCAGGGUUUUUUUCCCAAUUCCGGGGUUUUUUUCCCCAUUCCCGAGGUUUUUUUCCCAAUUCCGGGGUUUUUUUUUCCCCAUUCCCAAGGUUUUUUCCCCAAUUCCCGGGAUUUUUUCCCAAUUCCUGGGUUUUUCUCCCCAUUCCCGAGGUUUUUUUCCCAAUUCCGGGGGUUUUUUUCCCAAUUCCCGGGGUUUUUUUCCCAAUUCCCGAGGUUUUUUUCCCAAUUCCGGGGUUUUUUUCCCCAAUUCCCGGGGUUUUUUCCCAAUUCCGUGGGUUUUUUCCCAAUUCCGGGGUUUUUUCCCCCAUUUCCCACCUGUUAUCCACGAAGGCCACGGCGUAGCCCAGG